AACGCGAAGAACCUUACCCGGGCUUGAACUGCAGGAGAACGAUACAGAGAUGUUGAGGCCCUUCGGGGCGCUGGUGGAGGUGCUGCAUGGUUGUCGUCAGCUCGUGCCGUGAGGUGUCGGCUUAAGUGCCAUAACGAGCGCAACCCUUUUCAUCAGUUGCCAUCAGGUGAUGCUGGGCACUCUGGUGGUACUGCCACCGUAAGGUGUGAGGAAGGUGGGGAUGACGUCAAAUCAGCACGGCCCUUACGUCCGGGGCUACACACGUGUUACAAUGGGGCAUACAGAAGGCAGGAACAUGGUAACAUGUUUCAAAUCUUAAAAGUGCCCCUCAGUUCGGAUUGGGGUCUGCAACCCGACCCCAUGAAGCUGGAUUCGCUAGUAAUCGCGCAUCAGCCAUGGCGCGGUGAAUACGUUCCCGGGUCUUGUACACACCGA
rnacentral:rRNA from 1 species